rnacentral:tRNA from 1 species
GGGGCUGUAGCUCAGUUGGUAGAGCGCUUGCAUGGCAUGCAAGAGGUCCGGGGUUCAAUUCCCCGCAGCUCCA